rnacentral:rRNA from 1 species
CAGUCGUACCGGCGGGUAAUCAGCCUUUCGGGUAUGAUUCUGUGGAGUGUGGGGGAGCUAAACACCCUCAUGCCUGCAUAUUCGUGCUCUUGGGUGUACUUGCUCGUGUGGUUGGUUAACAUCAAUUUCGGUCGGCAUAAAAUGAUUAGAGGAAUGUAGCUUUGAUCUCGUAUCGAAGUUGUUAUAGCCUCUGGUAGAUGUGACGAUUGGGAUUGGAGGAUUGCAACGGAUA